rnacentral:rRNA from 1 species
CUCUACCUACGGGGGGCAGCAGUAGGGAAUUUUCGUCAAUGGGCGCAAGCCUGAACGAGCAAUGCCGCGUGAACGAGGAAGGUCUUCGGAUCGUAAAGUUCUGUUGAAGGGGGAAAAGAGCGGAGAGAGGAAAUGCUUUCUGAUUGAUAUUACCCUUCGAGGAAGUCACGGCUAACUACGUGCCAGCAGCCGCGGUAAUACGUAGGUGGCGAGCGUUAUCCGGAUUUAUUGGGUUUAAAGGGUGCGUAGGCGGUUCGAUAAGUUAGAGGUGAAAUCCUGGGGCUCAACUCCGGCACUGCCUCUGU